GAUGAAGAACGCAGCGAAAUGCGAUAAGUAAUGUGAAUUGCAGAAUUCAGUGAAUCAUCGAAUCUUUGAACGCACAUUGCGCCCGCCAGUAUUCUGGCGGGCAUGCCUGUCUGAGCGUCAUUUCAACCCUCAUGCCCCUAGGGCGUGGUGUUGGGGAUCGGCCAAAGCCCGCGAGGGACGGCCGGCCCCUAAAUCUAGUGGCGGACCCGUCGUGGCCUCCUCUGCGAAGUAGUGAUAUUCCGCAUCGGAGAGCGAUGAGCCCCUGCCGUUAAACCCCCAACUUUCCAAGGUUGACCUCAGAUCAGGUAGGAAUACCCGCUGAACUUAAGUAUAUCAAUAAGCGGAGGA
rnacentral:misc_RNA from 1 species